rnacentral:rRNA from 1 species
UACGGAGGGUGCAAGCGUUGUCCGGAUUUAUUGGGUUUAAAGGGUGCGUAGGCGGCUAUUUAAGUCAGUUGUGAAAUCUCCGGGCUUAACUCGGAAAGGUCAACUGAUACUGUGCGACUAGAGUGCGGAAGGGGCAACUGGAAUUCUCGGUGUAGCGGUGAAAUGCGUAGAUAUCGAGAGGAACACCUGCGGCGAAGGCGGGUUGCUGGGCCGACACUGACGCUGAUGCGCGAAAGCCAGGGGAGCGAACGGG